CACGUAGUUAGCCGGGGCUUCUUAGUCAGGUACCGUCAUUUUCUUCCCUGCUGAUAGAGCUUUACAUACCGAAAUACUUCUUCACUCACGCGGCGUCGCUGCAUCAGGGUUUCCCCCAUUGUGCAAUAUUCCCCACUGCUGCCUCCCGCAGGAGUCUGGGCCGUGUCUCAGUCCCAAUGUGGCCGUUCACCCUCUCACGGCCGGCUACUGAUCGUCGCUUUGGUAGGCCGUUACCCUGCCAACUGGCUAAUCAGACGCGGGUCCAUCUCACACCGAUAAAAUCUUUUCCGUCAGUGUCCAUGCGGCACCAGCGGGUUAUGCGGUAUUAGCGGUCGUUUCCAACUGUUAUCCCCCUGUGUGAGGCAGGUUACCCACGCGUUACUCACCCGUCCGCCACUCAGUCACAAGAGACUUCAUCCGAAGAAUCAUUCUCAGGUGCUCGUUCGACUUGCUAUGUAGUUAAGCACGCCGCCAG
rnacentral:rRNA from 1 species